CAGAAUGGCCGCUCGGUCACCAUCUUAAGCAACAGCAGUGAGUGGCCUUGGAAGACCAAUGCAGAAAUUUUCAGGCUUUAUGCAGCAUGGUCACUACUACAGGCUCUUAUGUCACUACUCUGUGGCACUCUUCAACAAACAGAUGGCAGGUGUAGAAACAAAGACUUCAGUCCAAAGAGGGACAAGCACCAAGCCCCAGCACAUUAGUGGAUUCAGCAAGAAAUCCAGGAUCCC